UCCAGUCAUGUUCUAUGCCUGCAGAUAGACCACCUAGUUGGAAUCCAGCAUGUGUGUCUAAGUUCUGUGUGUGACUGCCAGAACACCCGCCGAUGUGCUGACUUCCUGAGGUUCCUGGAGUGAUUACCUUCACUCCCUGGGACUGGAGUCACUGGCCGCACAGCUUCCUCCACUCCUGAGCUGGUUCUCCCUGUCUGGGCAAAUUUUUGGCUGGCUCUCCCCAGGUAUGGAUGCCCAGUUUAGAAGAGAUUGACACAUGCAAAGAAGCUAGACCCUGUGCUGACUGAAAGUUGGAUUACUGGAUGCUUUAAACCAAUGAAUAUCAAUAGUCUCCAUCUUCUUGCCAGAAUCUCUGCAUCAGACACCAGGAGAGAAGCAGCAAAUAAAAGAGAACAUAUCCAACUGAUCAAAGACAAGAGGCACCCACUAUGUAGUCACAUUGUGACUCCCAGUUUAAAAUCAUGGAAAAGUUUCCUUUCUAAAAUACAGCCACUGGAUAAAACACCAACAGACACAUGAAUAAAUGUGGCAGUUCAUUGACCCAGGAGGGAGUUAGAAUGAAUAUCAAAACUGCUGAGCAUUUCCCUGCAGGUGCAGAGCUCAGUUGGUCAAUAUGGAGAAGCUUGAACCACAUCCGAACAGGGGUCAGUAAGACAAAAGUUAACAUGCAACUAUGGGGAUACACCAACACCAUGUUUGAAUAUGGAGGAAACUUUCAGACUACAGAACUCCUGAUGCUCACAUAUAAGAGAAUGAAGUAUCAACAAGGACCUUGCUAAAGCUACAGAUUGAGCAAUAGUAGGUGCCUGUUACUAGACCCACAUUUGAACAUGGUGACAUGACAUGAGAAGACUGAAAAAUAGUGCUAGUAAGCACCCUAUAUCUUAAAGUGCAUUGCUUUCUAUAACUACAUCUUGGGCAAACCACUGGCGGCUGGGAUGAGACAAGCUAUUUCCUUAAUCCAACAGAUCUCAAAGGCCUUAUGGGACAACAAUAUCAGGAUGACCACUGAGUAGAUGGAUAGGAUUUUCCAAGGUCUACUAGACUCUUUCUAUACUUCAGCCUCACUUUAUCCUUUGUCUUUGUGUCUAUAAAACACAAGAUUCAUUACAUUUAUUUUUAAGACAAUGAAAUUACACAUUAAAAGUGGGUUUUACAAAAGUGUCAGCAUUACGUUAACUCUCUGCCAUUGAAACCAGUGGGAUGUUUGUUUGAGGGAGUUUAAGUUAUUCUUAUGCAAACAGCUUCAAAUUAUCUUCUCAUAUGUCAUUUAUUCUUAUUUCAUGUAGAUUGUAUCCCUGUUUUCAUAUCUUUUUUCUCUCUCUUGGUUUUGAAACUGUCAUGCUCAGCUUUCAGUCACCUUCAGUCCUUUCCAAGUGAUAAUGUAUAUGUUUCCACAUCACAUAGCAUUACUGUAACAUACUGACUAUUCUUUCAAAACUCAUUUUGUGUAAUUUUUCCAUAGUCUGAUCAGAGCAACUUUUUAAUGUUUUCUUGGUACAUUAGCACUGUGAAAUUGCUGCUAACACUAUCAGCCAAUUAGCAACUCCUUAAUCUGCUAUAUUGUUUGUCAAGCCUGUGUGACAGAAUGACAGGGUACCAUACUAAUUAGCUGACUCCUUCAUAAGUAGAAAAUUGCUCCUUGUUUGACAAAUAUUUUAAGUAAAAAAAAGUGGAGACCUGAAAGUCUAGAAACAAAUUUAGUCAUGGAAGGUUUCAUUAAAGGGUACUGAAUAGCUCAGGUAAUUGGUAAUGGGAGAAAAGACCUUUUACCUUUUUGUAAUAAAUCAGAAAAAUUAGUGAGUGGAAGGAAUGGAAGUAACUUCUAAAUGUGUUAAUUAAGAGCAGGGUUUAAAGUCUGAUGAGUUUAUGAACCUCAGCCUAUGCUUGAGGAAAUUGGGUUUACUGAGGCUGAUGUUAAGUAAUCAGCUGGGAAGACACCCAACCUCUCUGCAUACAUCUGGCCUCCCUCAUUACCAGUAAAAGUAGUGUCUAUGUCUUUAGCUUCCAGCCUUGUAACUUUCUGAAGAGAAGGUCUUAGGACGUGUACAUGGGAGAUGGGUGAUUUUUUUUGGAGAGUGGGAGAGGCUGGGAAUAGAAGUUGCCUUUGUAAGCCUUAGUUCAUUUAAUUCAGUCCUGCAGUGUUGACAAUGACCAUGUUACUGUCUGUGCAACAUCAAAUUCCUGUUUUAUCCAAAAUAUUACAAUAAACAGUACCAUAUAACUUCUACCAACUGACUCCUGUGGCUAGACUUGUCUCAGGCUCUACAUCAGCUAUGAACAAGAGUAGUCUUUCAGGGAAGGAGUUUUUGGUCCUGGGUGAAUGGGGAAUAUACCCAAUGACUGUAAACACCUGGGAAUAUUAUCGUAAUAGUGAAAUGUUUUAGACCAUAAUUGAGGGGCUUUCAAUUGCUGAGUUCCCAGGGAGCUAAGAAUGUGUCAGCUGUUCUCCCAUAGCACAUCAGUUGGAAGUUCCCUGUAUGCUAAGCAGACCACACCAACAUAGACAGGAAUAAAGAAACAGGAAUGUGACCCUAUAUUUGUCAUUAAAAUAAAUCAA